UCACAAUGCUCAGAUGUUUUGCGGCUCCAGACAGAUUAUUUUUAUUUUCUUUUGCCUAAAAUGGCUCUUUUGAUAGUAAAGGUUGCUGAACCCUUGUGUAGGCUAGUUGAGUUGACUGGCUAGUCUUGGUUUGGAAAAAACAAAUAUAGGCCCAUAGAGCUCCAAAGGGCUCAGGAAGAGUUGAAGCUCUGGUUAAAAAGAAACUUUCUGAACACUUUAAAGGUAUAAUAUGUAACAGCUGUCAGUUGCUGUAAACCGGGCUUAUUGAAUUAUGAUAUUUCUUUGUGAGAACUGACAUAUACAAGUUAAAGCUGAAGAAAGCCGUAUGGGGUGGAGGAAAUCCCAAACACGUGUUAAGGUGCUGUGCCUGGAGCAGCGAGGGAGGGCGUACUCUGAAGUCACUACCGUCACAGCCUGGUACUAGAUCCAACCUGAGGUGCUGUCCAAGAUGCUGUGCCUGGAGGAUCGAGGGGGGACAAGUUCUGAAGUCAAUGCCGUCACAGCCUGGUACUAGAUCCAACAUGAGCAGCUCAGGAUGAUGAGAGAGAUGUGAGCGGAGGGCCGGAGGAGAGAGUCAGUCGGAGUGGCAGUAAAAUAUGGAAAGAGAGAGGGAGCAGGAAGGAAAAAGACGUGGAUGGCAGGAGACGGAGAACAGAAGAGUGAGCAGGUGAUCUGAGGUGAAAGGAGGGUCACGGAGUAUCGAGCCACCCAGGCGAGGAUAUUAAAAAUAAAUUCCUCAAUACACUUAAUCCACCUUCAUGAUACUUUAAAGUUUAAGCUCUAGUGUGAGUGUGAGGGCAGACGAUGAGACGGUGCCCCAGAUUGAAAAAGAUCCAGAACGUUUUUUUAAUUUUUUUAUGAGAAAACAUUUACAUAAUGCAGCCACAUGCAUUCAUCUUUAAUUUAUUACUACUUUCUGUAGCUUCUUUCAGACUUCUUUUUAGCAAUGCAGUAGAAGUAAAGUGUGCUUACCCUCAUUUUGGCAC